rnacentral:rRNA from 1 species
CAGUCGCCGCGGUAAUACGUAGGUCCCGAGCGUUGUCCGGAUUUAUUGGGCGUAAAGGGAGCGCAGGCGGUUUAGUAAGUCUGAAGUUAAAGGCAUUGGCUCAACCAAUGUAUGCCUUGGAAACUGUUAGACUUGAGUGCAGAAGGGGAGAGUGGAAUUCCAUGUGUAGCGGUGAAAUGCGUAGAUAUAUGGAGGAACACCGGUGGCGAAAGCGGCUCUCUGGUCUGUCACUGACGCUGAGGCUCGAAAGCGUGGGUAGCGAACAGGAUUAGAUACCCCAGUAGUCCCUGUCUCUUAUACA